UCACAUUUGUGCCUUUGGAAUCUAAAAACCCCAAGCCUUCGCAAAACUCCAUCAUCCCCUCUUUCCUCCCAAGUGACAAUUCCCAUUUUCAUUCAAUCCGAUAGCAUUCUCCAGCUCGACCCUUUUUCAUAACCAACUUCGCAAGCUCCUCCCCCCUUCUGGCUAAGUCUGCAACCAUCGGCCAUCGAAUCUUCAUUAUCUCCUUCUUCAACCUCGUUUGUCCUUGCCUUGUCGCUCCAUGAAUGGCUGCCUCUAACCUUAGGCCUUUAGUAGAAGAUCUUACUUGCUGGUUUUCCCAAGUGUAUUCAAUCUGUUAACCUUCUGAUGUUUGACGCUCAGUGUCUGCUUGAUUGCCUUGACCUCUCCAAUGGAUGUGCGGCUCUAGAGAUUGCUAACAGAGUGGAAGCCUCAAGAUUGGUGUGCCAUCGAAGGGCUCAUUUGAGACCCACAACUAUUCCCAGCCGCUCAACAGCAAAAUCAGCCUAGGAAAUAGUAAGAGAUUUCAGGGCUGAUGGAGACGAGAGAAUUGCUAGCAGAAACAGCUGAGAACUUCUUGAUUUCCUUGAAGCAGAGUUUCUUAUGUUUAACUCAAAUCACCCUAGACACCAGCAAGAUCUAAGGCAAAAAGGAAAAAAAGGAAGAUGAUGGAGUAACUUUGGUGUGAAAAAAAGAAUGAGAUGUGAAGUUUCUUCAUUUGACUUCUUAGAUUGGCACAAAGGAAGAAGAAAAUGUUGAGGCUUAUUAAUUUUAAGUUGAGGAGUAGAUUCACAAGGCUUAUUUCUGGAAGGUUUGUUUUUUAUCAAUGUGCCAUUCCUUUGGUUUUUCUUGAUGCUUUCUUUGGUUUGUUUCAUUGGUUGCUGAUGACGUAUCAAGAUUUUUUUGUCAGUUUUCAUUUUCAUUUUUAUUUUGAGGAACUAUAGUUCUUCAAUUAUAUAAAUAACAUGGUUAUUUAUACUGAAUUUUUAUCAUUUUUCUCUAAAUUUAGUCUUUUGCUAUUGUAUUUAUUAGUCAAGCUGAAAUGCCUAUUUUUGUGGCAACCAAAAUGGUGUAUUAGAUUUAACGCCAUGAUUGAGGUCAAAUUCUUUGUUCUUCCAGUUCUGUUACUUAUUUCUUUGAGUGUAUAUCAACUCAAUGCUAUGGUAAAUCUUGAACCUACUCUCUCAUUGUGA